GGGGAUUUAGCUCAGUGGUAGAGCGCUUGCCUAGCAAGCAAGCCCCUGGGCUCGAUCCUCA
rnacentral:tRNA from 1 species